rnacentral:tRNA from 1 species
UGGAUCAAAGCCAGUUGAUUAGGGUAUUUAGCUGUUAACUAAAUUUUUAUGGGUUUGAAUCCCAUUGGUCUAG